rnacentral:rRNA from 1 species
AGUGAACGCUGGCGGUAGGCCUAACACAUGCAAGUCGAACGGCAGCACAGUAAGAGCUUGCUCUUACGGGUGGCGAGUGGCGGACGGGUGAGGAACACAUCGGAAUCUACUUUUUCGUGGGGGAUAACGUAGGGAAACUUACGCUAAUACCGCAUACGACCUACGGGUGAAAGCAGGGGAUCUUCGGACCUUGCGCGAUUGAAUGAGCCGAUGUCGGAUUAGCUAGUUGGCGGGGUAAAGGCCCACCAAGGCGACGAUCCGUAGCUGGUCUGAGAGGAUGAUCAGCCACACUGGAACUGAGACACGGUCCAGACUCCUACGGGAGGCAGCAGUGGGGAAUAUUGGACAAUGGGCGCAAGCCUGAUCCAGCCAUACCGCGUGGGUGAAGAAGGCCUUCGGGUUGUAAAGCCCUUUUGUUGGGAAGGAAAAGCAGCAGGUUAAUACCCCACUGUUCUGACGGUACCCAAAGAAUAAGCACCGGCUAACUUCGUG